UGAGCUCCUCUCAGACGGAUAACUAGCCACCUCUCUCUGCCAAACACUCCAGCCAGACUUCGGCCGACAGGCCUGGACCCUCUAGCAGGCCACAGCAACGGCCACAACUCUGCUCCACUUCCUGUGAUGGAUUCCACAUGGCUCCAUCACUCUCUGACGGGCUGCAGUAAUGGCCACGACUCUGCUCCACUUCCUGCGAC
rnacentral:lncRNA from 1 species